CCUACGGGAGGCUGCAGUAGGGAAUCUUCCACAAUGGGCGAAAGCCUGAUGGAGCAACGCCGCGUGGGUGAAGAAGGUCUUCGGAUCGUAAAACCCUGUUGUUAGAGAAGAAAGUGCGUGAGAGUAACUGUUCACGUCUCGACGGUAUCUUACCAGAAAGCCGCGGCUAACUACGUGCCCGCAGCCGCGGGAAUUCGUAGGUGGCAAGCGUUAUACGGAUUUAUUGGGCGUAAAGGGAACGCAGGGGGUCUUUUAAGUCUGAUGGGAAAGCCUUCGGGUUAACCGGAGGAAUGCUUUGGAAACUGUGAGACUUGAGUGCAGAAGAGGAGAGUGGAACUCCAUGUGUAGCGGUGAAAUGCGUAGAUAUAUGGAAGAACACCAGUGGCGAAAGCGGCUCUCUGGUCUGUAACUGACGCUGAGGUUCGAAAGCGUGGGUAGCAAACAGGAUUAGAUACCCGAGUAGUC
rnacentral:rRNA from 1 species